UUGUUCUGCCUAAGGAUUUCCUUGUUCAGAUCAAUCUGCCUAAAGCCCAUUUCCUCCAGCUCCCUCAGCAGCUUCUCUUCAUUGUGACCAUCUAUGUCAAAAGGCUCAGGUGCUGCGGCGCUGGCUGCAGGUGGAGGCACAGGCACAGAAGCAGGGGCAGGGGCAGAUGCAGGUGCGGAUGCAGGGGCAGGCAUAGAAACAGGCACAGUUGUAGGCAGGAUAGGCACAUUAACAGGUGAAGGUCCAACCGGGGCAAGCAGCUCAGGUGCAGGUGCAGGCACACUAACAGAAGGCACAAAAGCAGCAGCAGUGGCACUGGACAUGGGAACAUCAACGACAAG
rnacentral:lncRNA from 1 species